ACGGGGUGCAGCAGGCGCGAAAACUUAGCAAUAAGCGCAAGCUUGACAGGGCUAUCCCGAGUGCCAUCCGCUGAGGAAGGCUUUUACCCAGUCUAGAACGCUGGGGGAAUAAGGAGAGGGCAAGUCUGGUGUCAGCCGCCGCGGUAAUACCAGCUCUCCGAGUGGUGUGGAUGUUUAUUGGGCCUAAAGCAUCCGUAGCUGGCUAAGUUAGUCCCUUGUUAAAUCCACCGAAUUAAUCGUUGGAUCGCGGGGGAUACUGCUUGGCUAGGGGACGAGAGAGGCAGACGGUAUUUUCGGGGUAGGGGUGAAAUCCUAUAAUCCCGGGAAGACCACCAGUGGCGAAGGCUGUCUGCUAGAACGCGCCCGACGGUGAGGGAUGAAAGCUGGGGGAGCGAACCGGAUUAGAUACCCGGGUAGUCCCAGCUGUAAACGAUGCAGGCUAGGUGUUUGGACGGCCACGUGCCGUUCUAGUGCCGCAGGGAAGCUGUUAAGCCUGCCGCCUGGGGAGUACGAUCGCAAGAUUGAAACUUAAAGGAAUUGGCGGGGGAGCAC
rnacentral:rRNA from 1 species